CUUCAAGAAGAAAUCUUGAAAGAGGAAGAAGGGGGAGGAGGUAGCAGCAGCAGCAGCAGCAGCAGCAGCAGCAGCAGCAGCAGCAAGCCGCACUGCUGUCUGACUGAAUUCAACGGAGUGUGUGCGGUUGUGUGUGCGUGUGUGCGUGUGUGUGUGUGUGUGCGAGUGCGAGUGGUGUGGGCGUUUGGCUUGGCUGCUGGCCUUUUGCCGUGGCAACUUGGUAAGGAAGGACUUGCUGGGUCUCUCUCUCUCUCUCCCCCAUCCUGCAAGGGAGAAGGGAAAGAGAGGGAGAGCGCCAUCCUCCUCCUCCUCUCGGCAAGCGAGAGCGGGGGUGUGUGACAGGGCACUGCUUCCACGACGUCGCCCCCGGCGGCGGCUGAGGGGCGCGCAUAGGUAUGCUACUUUGCGGGAAAUUCUUUUAUUUUCGCUAUUACUUUGCCUUCGUCGGGUGACGAAGGAAAGAGGAAAGGAAAGAGGGAGAGAACGAGAGAAGGAAGGAAGGAAGGAAGGAAGGAAGGAGGGAAGGAGGGUUAAAAGGGAGCACCUCCUCACGCAGGACCCCUGGCCGCGGGGGACGUUGGUGCACGGUCUCCAGGGCAAGUGUGAGCGCCAAAUGUAGUAGAUAUUUGUAAGUGUGAAAGGGUGUGGGUGUGGGUGUGGUGUUGUGUGUUUGUGUUUGUGAGUGAGUGCACGAUUGGUGUACCGGCGCUAGUGCGCCCAUGAGUUCUGUAGGGUCUGCAGGGCAUUUUUUCCGGGGCCGAGCCGGAUUGCCCCCCCCCCCCCCCCCCAUUCCCCCCAUUUUUUUUUGGGGGGGGGGGGGGGGGUCGACGACGCCGACGCCGAUGCCGCCGCGGCAAAGUUCUUUCUUGCCUGGGUGCCCUUGGCGAGAAUUCCCCCCCCCCCCCCUCCUCCUCCCCAUCAAAAAAAAAAAAAAAAAAAAAAAAAAAAAAAAAAAAAAAAAAA